AUUUUGAAUUCCGGAAUUACUUACAUUAACAAAAUAUGAUAGAAAUAGACAUUUGCUUUAGAAUGAGCUAAAUACUGAAUUUUUAUAUACACAGUAAGAUUUGGUAGCAGUUUAAAUAUUUUCAGAAAACUGAAUCCAAGACUCUUUAUUUAUGUUUACUGCAAUGCAAGGAGAGAGUCUUAAGUCAACUAUUAAUAUAUCUGUGCUAUAUUUUCCUCUAAGGAUUUGGGAACAGAAUUAUGCUGUUCUCAUGAAAACAAUAUUUGUCCAGGCCUUACAGAGGGUUGCAAUGCACUCUAUUACUUUUAAAACAAAAAUAUCACUCAGUUUAGAUUUAAAAUGUAAUGCUUUUCUCUUUUCUUUUCUUUUCCCCCCCUUUUUUUUUUCUUUUUUUUUUUCCUUUAUCUUUCAGCCCAAGAACUUGCCAGUCAAGAUGAAAAACUUCUUCUAAUGGAAUCCAGCUUGAAAGCAACUCAAGAGCAGCUAAGUGAGCAAACAGCAGAAACAGUUCACCAAGAACAGAACAGUAGAAAAUCACAGACAGAGCUGAAAGAAGAUCCUGAGAGAACGUAUUAUAGCUUCUGAUGAAGAAAUUAGUGAUUACAAAAGCUGUCUCUAAGCAAGAUGCUGCCAAAUAAAAGGAAAUUUAGUGUUUGAACUUUUAGUCACAACAGUAAGGCACAUAUGAGAUUGCAUACUAUACUUGAGAAAAGUUUAAACAGAAAAAUGUACCUCUAUUCUCAGAAAAAAAAAAAAAUAGUAUCUAUAAGUUUAUAAGUUUAAAUGUUAGCUCUGAAGAUUUUAAUUAAAAAAUACUAAUCUUCAACAAAUAACUUUUAUAAAUUAUAAUGACUUUAAAUGUAUUUUUAUAUUGAGACACAAAAUGAUACAUUAUUCAGAUUUUUCAAGAUCUACAGUAUGGUAGAAAUGAUUCACUACUGCUUCUUUUUGCCUUAUUGUAUGCAAACUGUUACAUAUGUUAUAUUAAAAAAUUGUUAAAUGUAGAGACAGAAACUCAAGCUGUUUUAUAAUAUCAUAGAGUGCAGGUGAAUGCUUUAUAAAGAGAGCAUGACUGAAAUAAAGUUUAUUCAUUCAGUGGUAGGUUGAACAUUUAAAGAGAAAUGUUUUAUCUCAGAUUUGUACCAAGCAUCAAGGACUGUCUCUACAAAUCUCCUCUGAGAGAAGCUUUGCUAGGUUUAGAUGCAAUAAACAUAAUGUUUCAAAAUCACAAUAUGACAAUGUUAUAAUUUGUAUGCUCAGUGUAAAUAGCUUCUAGACUGGAACUUCACUCUGUAUUCAAAAGUUUAAAGCCAAUUUUUCUGCUGAAGACUGGGAAAAUCUCUAUGGGAAGAAAAAAACGCACAAGAACAAAAACAUUGUCUACAGUAAUAUGUCUUCAUUUCUUUAAAUAAAAUAGCUUGGUGGUUUUCAACUUCUAGUUAUACCUCUAAAGACCUUACUACUACUUCUCUAGGGACAGUAGUGUCACUGAUUUGCUUUCCUAACCUAUCUUGACUCCUUUGCUACAGUAAGCUUUCUUAACCAUUUCAAGUGAUUCUUCAGUUGCCAAAAUGCCAUGUUAUGCAAAUUCCUGUAGAUAUUUACUUCAAAAUUAAAAGGUUAAAAUCUUCUAGGAGUACUGGCUGUAAGUUUGUGUGAUACAGUGAUAGAAAUGGUAGGGGAUGUGGGAGGAUUGAAACCUCCAGCUGUAUCUGAUCAAAUGUGUGAUGAAAUACAACACUUGAUAGAGCAGGAAUUUUGCAAAAGUGAAAUGAGUUUCUCUGUUCUUCAAAUAGAAAGCCAAAUGAUAAACACUACAAGACUUUGAGACACAUUUCUUUCUUUCUUUCUUUCUUUUUUUUUAUGAUUUCAUAGUAUACAUUUUGUGAAUAAAUAAAAACUUGGAUGAAUCUGUUAACAUACAAAAAUUCACUAAGCCACCUUUUUUUCUGUUUAUAUUUGAUUUUCUUUUUCUGCUCUAUUUUUCUAUUUCUGUUUUCACCAAACUAAUAUGUUUGUUGGCUUUGGAAGUUUGUUAAUUCAGUACAUGAGCAUAAUGUAUUUUGAGUUAGGGGAGUCUUCAGGUUACAGCUCUAUAGAUUGUCAAGAUUAUUUUUAUAGGCUCUUAGGUUAAUUUUUAUGUUUAAGUUUAUGACACUUGUUUUUUAAAAGUACUGUGAUAUUACUGCACGAUUAUAGAGAAGUAUUUGUUGAAUUAGGAAAAUUAACGCUGUAAAUUUAAAAUUUUAAUAAAGUUGAAAUUAUAAAGAUAAAAACUAAGAAACAAAAUUGAACAUUUUAGAUAUUAAAUUCCCCCUUAAAGAUAACAUUUUACUGAAUACCUGAAAACAAACAUGUUGUGCCAGACAGUAUCUGCUGUGCUCUGUUCCUUGAGAGGCAGAAAGAACAAUGGAUCUCUUUCCCCAUGGGUGUUUGGGGACAGGGAAUGUCGUAAAGGUUAUGUUCAUUUACUAUGAAGGGCACAGCACGUGUUGUAAAGUAACAUCCCUUUGGUGCUGACUUAUUCGAAGUCACAUAGUCCUGGACUUUACCUACCACCCUACUUAGUGAUUCUGGCAAAUGCAGAUGGUAUCAAGGUGAGAGCUUAGGACCUUGCAAAGAAAAAUGCAGUGAAGCAUAAAUUGGUGGAUUUAAACUACCGAGAGAGUUAAGAUUCUGCUAUAGCUGUUGUGACGCCUAUAAGGAGAAAAGUCCAUUUUUGUAUGCUUUUAUUUCCUUGUAAUGUAAAUGUACAUUAAAGGAUAUUUCUCCUGGAAGUGGUGUAAAAGGAAAGUACUGAAGAGCAUUUAAAAAACAAUAAAACUAGCAUUAUUUGUGCUAGUUUACAAAAAUAUUUUUUUAUAAAAUAGAAUAAAAAUAUUUUACUAACUGUACUGGAUUCUCAAAAUGCAUGUAUUCCAGGUAUAACCAAAAUUUGUAAGUAGUCACAAGCUAUGUUUGCUAUAUACUUAUUCUGGAUGAAAUAAACCUAAAGUUACACACACUCCCCCCCAGCCUCCAAUAUAAGCCUGUUACACUUGAAAGAUUUGUUCGGAAUGUCCAGUGGGAACCUGGAAAUCGUAAUAAUUUGUAGUAUCGAUUGUGUGAAGCUAUGCAGCUGGGGCCUCUAGUGAAUAGACAGGAAUAGACAUUUUAUUGAUUAACUUUUACAGUCAUAUUUUCAAGACUCUGCUGCAACAUAAUUUUCACUUCCCAGCUUUGUGCUGCUGCAUCAUGAAACUUGAAUUCUUCUCUCUUAACAUUUACCCACCUGAGGGAAACAGUAUGGAGUUGUCUCUUUUAAGCUGCGCUCUGCAGAAAUGCAUAACACUUGACACAGUGAAUUCUUCAAAAUUUACCCUCCGCUGUUGCAAUAAAAUGAAAAAUAUUAAGAAGUGAUAUUAGUAUCACCCAAGUUGAACUGCCCACUCCAUAUGUUAGACGCCAUUGUUUCAUACUUCCUAGUAAUUUUAUCCACCUUUUUUUUUAUUUUUAUUUUCUAAGGGGCUAAGAUUGUGGCAAAAAAAAUUGCCACCCUCCUCACACCACAGAUUCCAGCAGUGCUUAAUGGAGUUUGUCUCAUAAUUAAAUAGGUGAUUUUAUUAGUUACUGGAGAAGAAUAAGUGCUUCCCUGAAAAUGUGAACUAUGAAUUAAAAAAUACUCAUUUUUAAGAGUGACAGCCUGUGUCAAAUAAAAUUCCUUGUAAAAGUACAGAAAGGGCAGUUUUUCAUUAUAAUUAUCAAUCUAUCAUUUAACAAUGUAAAAAUAUGUACCAAAAUAGUAAACAGACUAGUCUUAGAAAGCAUUAUUUCACAUUUCUGAAGUUAUUCGUUUUCAGAAAAGAAAAAAAAAGGGGGGGGGGGGGGGGGCAUUUUGCCAUUUUGUAAAGAACUGUUGCAUAUUUUGAUUUUUUCCCAGUAUGAUUUGCAUUCUAAAUCAGAUGCCCAAGCCACUAUUCUUUCAUGCUGAUAAAAUUGCUGGUAAAAAUCUCAAUCUAUCAUUUUUUUUUUCAUCUAAUGACUGUUUCUUUGUUGUUGUUGUUGUUGUUAUUUUACAUGGUAACUUUUACUUGAAUGCUGUUUGCAAUGUAAGUUUGAUAACAGCUUUCACAAAAUAGGACAAAUAUUCACAUACAUUGCCACUGGUGCUAAUAUGAUUUAGACUUCUGUCAUUCUAUUAUUUUUCCUAGAGAUAUUUUAUUACUAGUGUCUUCUAAGUAUCUAAAUGUUUAAGAUAUUUGUGGUCAUGUUUCCUUUUGUCCUCCCGCUCAUCAGAUACAUCUCAGUGUGCACUGUAUGGAGACACCAAAGCAGAAAUACUCGCAUAGAUGACAGAAUGUUCAUCUUGUUUGCAGUUGUCUAAACUCUUACAGAAAAAAUCCUGAUUUCUCUUAAAAAAACAGAAAACUGUGUGGAGAACUUUAAGGUCUGAAAAAUGUGAGUAAUGCCUCCAGAAAAGCUUAAAUGGGAAUCACGCCAAGAAUGUGGGACCAGGAAAGUCAAAUUGUCAGACUGAGACAAAACUUUGUGGAAAUGGAAGAAGAAGUAAAGAACUUAAGACUUACACACAGCAAUGAUGCUCAGAUGAUUGAUAAGAAUCUGAAUACUCUGAGAAAUGAGAUGAACUUGUAUGAAGACACAUAGGAUGGUAGUCAAAUGAGCUGAAGUUUAAAUAUGAACAACACAAUGCAACACUGAGGCCUGCAUGACUGUAAGAAUGUUAGGAUAGAAAAUUGUCUUUGGUAGCAGCAAAGAUUAAAAAAAUAGUAUCACUUAAAUAAAUACAUGUGAAGAAGCCAAAUUUGUAACAAAAAGGAAACCAGUAAAUGAAUUCACAAAAGCCAGCUACUACAUAGCAAAUCUCUGUAUAAAUGGGCUGAGAGUAUGUACCAAGAAGAAGGCAAGUAUCUAUUCUUUUUCAAUGGGAAAAACAAAAAACAAAAAACAAACAAACAAAAAAGCUAUUUCAUCCUUACUUUGGGAAAAAGGCACACAAAACCAAAGCAAAAAAUGCCUCACUGACUGCAUCUGUCCAUUCUGUACUGUAAUUUGUUUCCCGCUAUGAAGAUUUAGGUUAAAUUCAUUUCUAUUAUUAAAGACAAAUAAGCUGCAAAAGAACUAAUUCUCUGUCUCCAUCUUUUACAUGUAUAUUUAUUCAUAUGAAUGCACUUUUGUUCAUUUAUUUUUACUUCUACCUUGACAAAGCUGUGCAAAAAAUAACAUAGUUUGAUUACUCAUAAUUUGCAUUUGUGUAAUUAAUAGGGAUGAAAAGGAUUAAAAUCAAUGGAGAAAUAUUUAUUUGUUUAAAUUGGAUAACUAUGGAAAAACUAUUUGGCAGGAAUGAAAGCUUUUCCAUCUAAAUUACGUCAUAUAAUUUAAACUGUUUUAGUUUUUAAGCUUAAAAAGCAUGAAAAUCACAAAGCAGAACUGGAAGAAGACACAGAAAAAUACUGCCAUGUAAAGGAAGAGCCUUCAGAACAAGGGUCUCAGCUCAAAAUUAGCUAGCUGGUCCAUUCUGGAGUGGGAAAACUGAUAAAAUGCCGCAGUACUCAGGUAAUACCCUUGAUACAAUAUGUGGAAGGGAGACAGUGUUUGAAGUAAUAUCAGUGAAUGUAUCAGAGUACUCUCAGAGAAUUUUUCCAACGGAUAAGGAAAUAUUAUUUAAAUAAUACUAACUGUAAAAUUCACUCAUGAGUGAUUGAGAAAACAUGAGAAAUAUUGUUGAAAAUAUCAAGUCAAUAUAACAGCAGCAUUUCUUCUUUUAAAAGUGUUGUGGGUGGGAUUCACCUUGUUGAACUGGAGGUAGGAAUAUUUGAAAUAGAUGUCUAAGUUCCAUUGCUGUCAUUGGAGACUUAAUCAACUCAGUGAGUGAAAUCAAGGGCUAUCAAUACCUUUCAUUACCCAAAGUGAACCUACAGAAAAGCUGGAGAGUGACUCUUUAUCAGGUAGCAUAGUCAUAGGACAAGGGAUAGUUGCCUUCAACUAAACUAGAUUAGAUAUUAGAAAGAAAUUCUUCACUAUGAGGACAGUGAGAUACUGAAAUAAAUUGUCCAUAGAAACUGUGGAUGCUCCAUCUCUGGGAGCAUUCAAACGUAGGUUGAGUGAAGCCCUUGGCAACUUGAUCUCAUGGAAGGUGACUGUGCUAUGGCAGGGAAUUAGAACUAGAUGAAUUUAAGUUCUCUUCCAAACCAUUUUAUGAUUCUAUGACUAAAUAUUGAUCCAAUCAAUAUUAAGGUUUUCAGAGGAGCUGAAAAUCAAUCCCAGUGACAAUAUUAUUCAUUGUGAUAGAACACAUUCACACACCGUAAUGCAGACAUCCAAAUUUGGGUAAGAAUAAUCAGAUUAGAAAAGUUAGCCUUUUUGCAGCAAUUCAUUAUAUAAUACGGAAUUAUUUUAUUUAUUUUUGUUACUAAUAAGAGUACUAGAUGUUUCACAAGCAUAGAUACUGGUCAAUUAUCUGAGCAAUAUCCAAUAUAUAAAUACACAAAGUUAGAAGGAAAUGAUCAAUGCCAGAGAGAAAUAAAAGUUAAAAUAAUACAUGCUUUUUCUUCUGUGUCUGAGAGAAUGUGAGUAGAUGUGAAAGUUGGAAAACCAAAAGAAUUAGUAGUAUGACAACAUUCCUUUUCUACCCUAGCAUUGUCAAAAGAUAACAAGAUUAAUUCUCUGCUGUAGUAUUUCACUACAGUAGUGUGUUAAUUUGAGGGGCUUGGCUGAGCCUUAUUCAGCAUAUAAUUAGAAUUUACUGAACUUUAAUUUCUUAUCAUCUUUAGGCUGCAUUAUCAAAGUGUUUAUAUUGAAACAUUCAAAUGUUCAGUUAAAAAUAAACUUCAGUUUGUCAAGGAUACAUUGUAUACAAAUUCUGUGGAAAUAUUUGAAUAAAAUUGUUCACUUUUGCUUUGUGAGAAAUGCUUUGCACUUUACAUAUUUAUAACAUAAUGUCAUUAGAGUAUGUAUCUUAGAAAUAUAGCAAUUUCCUGGUGAAUUUAUUGAAUAAAUGCUUAUCUAAUAAGUAAUUUGAGAGUAGAGAAAGAUCUAAUGAAAAGCUAAAUACACAGUGAAAUCCUAAUCAAGCAAUUGAAAUAGUUACUCAUGAUAAAACUAAGAUUAUCAGAGUAUCAGAACACAAAUUACUCCAUUAAUCUUUUGAAUUAGUCAGUUCUUAUUUUCUGAAGCUAAGUAACUUGAGAAGGUACACUCAAGGUUUCAUCUUUCUGAAGACUGUAUUUAUUACCUUUACUUUCAUAAAGAGUUCAUUAGAAAGAAUAUUACAGUGAAAUACGUUAACUUUUUAGCCUGUUUUAAUGAAGUCAUGUGAGUCUUUAAUUAUCUGACAUAAAACUGCUUAGUUUUACGUAGUAUCUACAGAUACUAAUUAGUAUCUACAUAUAUACAUUAGUAUCUACAUCAAUUAGUAUCUACAGAUAUUAACGGAUUCAUAUGUCAUAAAGCCAGAAGAAACGCUGUUAUUGAAUCUUAUAUGUGGCACAAUGCAGGCCACAGGACUUCACUGAAUUGAGUAGUUGUAAGAGAUUAUUCUUUUAUAUGAUUGACUCAAAGUUUGCUGAGGAACAAGUCCAGGCAAGUCCUGGGCAAAGGUACAGAAAUCUUCUGUCUGGAGGACACUGAUGGACAGGUCCUGGCUAAAGGAUUGUGAAGUCCUUUAAGGAGCACAGAUGGACGAGGCCAGGGGCAACGAGAGAGGGAUAAGCUGCUGAUAAUGGCUGAGAAAUGGUCUUUUGUGUGGACUUAUCUAGAAGAAGAUGGCCAUCUCAGGAGCUACGCACAUGACUCUUGCUCAAGCACCCAGGGAUGUCACGUAGGCAGGAAAAAGAGGAGGAUAAAAGAGGGUCUAACAACCAUGAGGAGAGGGUUUCUGCCAUCAGAUCCCUCACCACGACGGACUCAAGGUUUCUGCCAUCAGAUCCUUCACUACGGACCAUAUGCUGAUGGACUUCCCUGGGCCUGCUACCUGAGACCUGCUGCUUCCUCCCAGACUUACUCUGCGGCUUCUUCCUGGACCCACCCGGUACCUGCACCCUCUCGUUGCCCAAGACCGGCCUCGCUGCUCCUGCCCUUCAGCCUCGGACCAUCAGAACAUCGUGCAACAGGACUACUGCUGGUGGUGACUAUCCCCGCUUUAUGCAAUUCUUGCUUCUUUCUAUCUUUUCUAUCGCUCGCCUUCCCUUUCCCAUCACCCCAAUCCAUAAUAGUGUCCGUCCUCCCCUUUCUUCAUCUCCCUUAUUAACAUAUGUAAUAAACUGGUCGGACCAACAUUUGAACCGUUGUUUCUUAAUCUCACGCCGGGCAUACAUAUUUCAAAGAACCUCCUCUCCCUCCUAUAAAUUGGAGUGAGACAGUAGUACAUUAUGUCUAAGUAAAUGUGAUUAAAAUGGAGUAUAUUAAAAUGGAGCAUACAUUUUUAAUACAUUCUUGACUUUAAAUAUACACAAUGUUAGAGAAUUCAUUACGGUCUUUCACAGGUUGCCUCAAUAGUUAGUAAAACAUAUAGCAUGCUGACUGUUCAUCAUUUUAUCAUCUUUCUUGGAAUGUUAUACAAAUCUCAACAUAUAUAAAAAUAGUUUUUAUGUCAUCUUUAUCAAUAACAUUUGAAAUAUCAUAAAACUGAAAGAGCAGAUAGUUUUACAAGAUGUGUUUACAGUAAAUCCACAGUAACUUUGGUUAUUAUAUUAAUGCACAUUUGUUAUAUGUAUCUACAGCUAACACAAAUUACUGUGGAAUUAUGAUAUUAGCUGUCCUGAUAUUUUGCUUGAAAGAGAUAACUACCCUCCUUGAAUUACUUGAAUCACCCUCUUAAAACCUAAGAAAUAUUAGCACAGAAUUAACAGAUAAAUUAACCUGUACUGUUUUGGAAGUUUUUAAGGUUGUCAAGACCAAACACUGUAAAUAUGGCCUAGAAAUUCUUUUCAAAAGCACUUCAAAAGCACUUAGAUAUGUUUUACGUAGACAAUUUGAAAUAUAUUUAUACUUAUGUGAUUGCAGUCACUUUUAUCCUAAGACUAAAAUACCAUACAUUCUUCAGUUAUAAUAGAAUAUUUCACAUGAAGGGUUCUACAGAGAUCAUCAAGUCCAACUGCCUGACAACUUCAGAGGUAACCACAAGUUAAGCGUAUUACUGAGGGCAUUAUCCAAAUGCAUCUCAAGUAAUAUUAGGCAUAGGACAUCAGUCAUCUCAUUGCAGUGAGAUAAAAGCCUGUUCCACUGUUUGAUGAUAAAUAAAUGUCCAGUAUAGUCUGAAACUCCCCUGGCACAGCACAGCUGUGUGCCACUCCUGUGCAACCUGCAAUCAGCACAGAAGAUACCAGGGAGCAGAGACCAGCACCUCCCUCUGUACUUCCUCUCCUCAAGGAGCUGCAGAGAGCAGUAAAGUCAUCUUGUAGACUCCUAUUCUCCAGGCUAGACAGUCCAAGAGUCCUCACCCUUUCCUUACUAGACAUGUCUUCCAUUCUGAUUACCUGCUUUGUUGCCAUUGUCUGGACACUUUUAGAUAUCUUAAUAAUGUUUUUAUGUUGUGGGGCAUACAUUAUUCAAGGUGAGGUUGCACCAACUCCAAAUAUAUCAGGACAAUCACCCCAAAAAGCAGUUUGCCCUUUUGGCAACCAACACUGCUGGUUCAUACUGAGCCUGCUAUCAUCAGCCCUCCUAGAUCAAUUUGUUCUGAGCUGCUCUCCAGCCAUUCAUCUCUCAGUUUGUGUCAUCUCUCAGGUACUGUGCCAGGCAUAGUACCUGACAUUUACCUUUGUUGAACUUCACGCCAUUGUUUCCCCAGUGCUCCAAUCCAUCCACAUUGCUCUACAAGACCUCAGCAACACAACUGACCAUCUACUAGCCAAAUGGGUCUCCAUCACUACAACACUUUGAGUUCUACCAUUGAGCCAGUUUAUCACCCUGCAUAGUGUGAACAUACUUAUCUCACAGUUGGACAAUUUGUACAGAAAGUUGCCAUGAAGGAUCAUAUCAAAGGCUUUACUGAAUUCUAGAAAGAUGACGUACACUGCCUUCCUUCAUCCACCAAGUGGGUAAUCUUAUAAAAAGAAAUCAAAGCAAUGAAGACAGGGCUUUCCCUUCAUGAACCCAUAUUGACUAUGCCUGACAAUGGCUUUGUCCUUCAAGUGCCUUUCAGUAACACUCACUAUAAUCUUCUCCAUAAAUUUUUAGGGUACUGAGUUAGGUUAACAAGUCUGUUACAGAUUUGUUACUUUUGUUACUUUGUUUUCAGUAAGUUCUUUCUCUUUAUUUUUUGUUUGUUUGUUUAUUUUACUUUGUUUUGGGAAGAGGAGAGCUUGUGGUGGGGAGUGGGGUUUUGUCAUCUACGUAGUGCUAUUGAAGAUAAUACUACUUUUUUAUAUUUAAACAUUUGAUCCUCAGAAAGUUUCAUCCUAUUCUUUCAUGUUUACGAGAUUUUUCUCUCUUCAAACACUUUUUUUCUUUGUAUGAACAUUUGCAAAUGAGUGUGUACAUGCAUAUCAAUGACCAUGAGUACAUGGGGCUUAUCUGUUCCUCAAAAAUAUGACUUGGUCAAAAUUACUUUUGCAUAAAGAACAACUGAAUUUCAGCAACGUAAUCCUUUCCUACUCAUAAGUCUUAAAUUAAUGUGCAAAAUUGAAUUAAUCAGCAUAUUUAAUUACAAUUUUUUUGUUAAACUUAUUUAUCUGUGAAGGUGUUAUGUAUAAUUUUUGAAAGUUAAUGGAUACAUUAUUAAGCAAAGAGUAACAGCUCCAACAAACCAGAAUUAUUUAAGUCUCUGAGGAAAACUAAGAUUUCCCUUCUGAUUCAUCUUUAAAAUCCUGUUUUCAACAUCUUUGCAAAGUUAAUUUUAGUUUUUUAAAAGCCAGGUAACUUAAAAUAAUUUUUCUGCCCUUCAUUCCUCUUUUGUUUAUCGUGUUUUUCAGAAUGUUGUUCCAUUAGUGACUUUGAAGUCAGUGAUGUUAGAUCAAAUUAUUCAAAUUACUAGCUUUUGUUGUUGCUGGUGCUGUUUUGUGGGGUUUUUUUCUUUUGUUUUGUUUUGUUUUGAUUUUCCUCUUAUGAAUGUAAUUUACUGGUGUAGUGGUUAUUAGAACAGAACUUCACAGUGUUUGUGUUUUGUCUUAAUUAUAAGUAAUUUUAUAUCACUAAUAUUAUCAGUAAACUUGUUUGUGUAUAUUUUACUCAAUGAAAUGUUAAUGCCAAACUUUGAACAGAAACUGUACUGACUACUUCUAUCUUAAAACAGACAGUACCAGUAGCUGAUUGUUUUACUUUUGUUUCCUUUCAUCAAACAACUCUAUUCAGAAGGUGAAAAUUUCCUUUUCUUCUUUUUGAUGGAAUUUCUUUUCAUUUCUCCCCUUUCUUUUCAUAGUUUUACAAACGGGCAGUUACACAGUUUAUUACAAAAUAUGUUGAGGCACAUGCCUAGAAGGUGUGUUGAAUGGCAUACUCCAUCUACUUGUGGCAUCUAUGCAUAUUAAGUUGUUAAAAGCAUGUUUGUCAAACUUAUAUGACAGUUUUAGCAAUUGUAAAAACGCAUAUUUGCUAUGCUAUGCUAGAAGAAGAGGAAGAAAAAGAAGAAGAGAAGUGAAAAAAGAGAGGAGAGAAGAGGAGAGGAGAGGAGAGGAGAGGAGAGGAGAGGA
ensembl:lncRNA